rnacentral:lncRNA from 13 species
CGCAGCAAACCAGCCAAGAAAGGGAACCUGGAAUUGAUUCAGCCCAACAAACCAACUUUCCGAGUAUUUUAGCACAUCUUAUUUACAACGUUAAGAGAAGACAACAAACAAUUGCAGGAAUUUGCCCAAAUUCCACAUUUGCACAUACAUAUCAUGUGGGUCCUUCUGUACUAGCCUCAUAAGAAGAUGGCAACAACAAACAGCUUUUGAAAUGGGGUCCUACACGUUGCAACUCAGGUGGAUUACAAGAAAUCCAACUGGAUACUGAGGCUGGCGUGGCUGGUCGAGCAAAGGACAGUUCAAAUAUCUGCUCCAUUGACACGCUCAAGAUUCAGGGGACCGGUGGAGCAGGUUUUGGCACUUCCCUGAGCUCAGGCUCUCUGCACUAUGCUGACUGACAUUCAGGGAAAACUCAGAAGUCAUCCAGCAGUGUUUGAUCACUCACCAUCUGACCCAGAUUUUCAGAAGGUUUGUAUCUGGAGAGAUCCUUUGGCCUUUGCUUAUAAGGGUAACCCCACACAGAGCUGCUGCUUGCAUCACAUUUGGGAGCUGCUUCAAACCAAAGAAUGGACCGGGCUGGUUUCUACAGACCUUGGUGCUCUUGCUUGGCAUGGUCAACUGCAGAGAGCUGCCAGGACUUUCAUACUGCUGCGGGUGUGACAUGAAGGGAGAAAGUUUUCAGAAAAAAGGACUUCAGAAUAGAAGUCCAUCUAAAUUUAUUGCAAGAAAUCAAAACCACACAGCAAUCUUUCAGUUGGACUUUCCAAGGUUCAGCUGGGGGCUUUGCAUUUCCUCCCUUCUGCUGUGCAAUAUUCCCCUCUUUGAAGCUCGAUCGAUUUCCACGAUCCCCAAGAGCCGACAGCAGCGUAACAAUCCCCUCUUUCUGAACCCAGUGGAGAACCCACAGCGCAUCGACCACAGCUCAGAGACUUUGCUUCUCCACUGCAGCACAAAACCUUACCAAAUGCUCUAA